UGUGUUUAAGCACAGCUACUCUGACUGUGGCUUUUCCAUGGACCUGAACCAAAACAACUCAACUGCCAUUAUCCGAAAAUAGGCCAUGCCAUCGGAUCCUCCAGAGACGCACAGCUCAGGGAAUUCCACCACCUUCUCCAGGAGCUGCGCCCAGAUGACGGCUGCUUCCAGCGCUAUUUUCGGUUGACCUGGACCCUGUUGGAGAGGAUCGGUACCAGGAUACAGGCGUUCUAUCCCAGCUGCAGAGCACCUGCCCAUCUGUCUCCGGCUGGGCGGGGCCAUGGUUGAGGAGGACUCGCUCGCUUGUUAUCCACCACACCUGUCCCGCAUCGCAAUCAGUGCUCCUUUUAAGCUGGCUUCUCCCCGUGAUGCGGCGCCAGAGGAUUCACUCCCCUACAAGCGGUAGAUUGGCCACGCCCCCCAUGCACUGGAGCGCCAGUCCAGCGUGCACCGGCACUUCCCUCUCCUGCUUCCUUGGUGUCCUCACUCCAUCCCUGUUUAA